AUAUUCCAGAAACCCGAUGCUGGCUCCCUCAUUUUCCAUAGACCUCAUCUUCAGUCCCUAAAGAAGAAAACGGUGACAAGAAAUCGGAAGUCCAAUGCAGUCUGUACUCUUCAUGGAUGAACUUCUCAUGUUAAGUGCAAGUAUUUAUAUGGUACAUGUCUGACAAAGGAAGCCUUCCUACAAUCAUUACUGAUUGGACAGCUCCUAUAGACAGCAUCAGUUUAUAAGUGUUUCCUUUCUGAUACACGUUACAGAAUACUGUAAAGAAAUUAUGAAAAUUAUAUUGAACAAAUCAAGAAGUGGUUCAAGUUUUUGAAAACCUCAAUUUAAAGUUUACAUAUUUUCAAAGUUGAAUAAUUUUACACUGGGGUGGGAAGUGAAGUAUAAAUAAACAUUUGCUUAAAGGUACUGAGUUGUGAUAAUUUUUCAUGGAAUGAGACUGUCAGGCAGUAGCAGUUAAAUUAAUAUAUACUGUACUUAAAAAAUUAAACACUUGAGAAAUAACCUUUUUAGCCACUGGAAAAUGGCAAAGUCUAAGACAUUUCAAUCAAGUUAAUUUGGGUAUUAGAGAAAUGCAUUUUCCCACCAGAAACUAUGUGAAGAAACAAAUUAAACAAAAUGGCCCUCCGGAUGCUCGGGUAGCCCUGGGCGAGGAGCGGCACCAUUGCUUGUCAAUUAGGUUAUUAUACACACACAUUCCCUCAUUUUAAAUCACGCCAAAGCUGAACGGUUGAAGGUAUAUCAAAAUGAAGCAUGACUUGCAAUUUAAAUGGUUUUUUGUUUCUUUGUUUUAACUUUCUUUUUACUCCUGGACAAAGGGUCCUGCUGGGUUUCUCAGGUUGGGCUGUCUAAUUUCUUAGCUCCAAAGAGCCUCCUGCCUCAGUCCCCUGCACAACAGCUGAGACUACAGGCUUGAACCCACUGUAGUAGCUUGAACCCACUGUAGCUUGAACCCACUGUAGCUUGAACCCACUGUAGUAGCUUGAACCCACUGUAGUAGCUUGAACCCACUGUAGUAGCUUGAACCCACUGUAGUAGCUUGAACCCACUGUAGUAGCUUGAACCCACUGUAGCUUGAACCCACUGUAGUAGCUUGAACCCACUGUAGUAGCUUGAACCCACUGUAGUAGCUUGAACCCACUGUAGUAGCUUGAACCCACUGUAGUAGCUUGAACCCACUGUAGCUUGAACCCACUGUAGUAGCUUGAACCCACUGUAGUAGCUUGAACCCACUGUAGUAGCUUGAACCCACUGUAGUAGCUUGAACCCACUGUAGUAGGCUCAGAGUUUCUCUUUAACAAGCACUAACCUAGAGCAACUAGUCUAAUUCAGCUAUGUGUUCUAGGAUCUUUCCCUAGCUCACCCUGGCAUGCUAAAGUUCCUAGAACAAAAGUUCCUGAGCAGUCUUGGAAGUAGAAGAAGAGGCCAGGAGAACACUUUAACCAGCUCUGAAGUUACCUCAAAGACACCAGCAUGGAGACAGAUCAGUUUUUCUGGCCACACUAGCUGCAGGGCUCAGGCCCAGACUUCCCAAGGCAGGACAGUGGCAAUUUGGACAGGUUACUUAACUCCCUCACCCCACCCCAACUUCCGUUUCUUUUACUUGUCAAGGUCUAGCCUUGGACUGGGUCCCCAACAAAUAUGCAACAGACCCUGAGAGCUGCUCACAGCCCCACUACACUGCAGAAGGCAGGGAAGGCAGGCAGGCUGUCCUUUUGCUUUUGUUUUCAACAACACCUUGAGACUAAGAAACAACAGAAGUAACUUUAGGAUUGCCGUAGGAGCUGAGUGUUUCUGUUAAAUUAUUUAUUUUAUUUAUAUGAGUACACUGUCACUGACACAUCAGAAAAGGGCAUCAAAUACCAUUACAGAUGGUUGAGAUGAUGUGGUUGCUGGGAAUUGAACUCAGGGCCUCUGGAAGAGCAGUCAGUGCUCUUAACCACUGAGCCCUCUCUCCAGCAUGGAGCUGAGUUUUUAAGGGCUAGGUUAAAGCCCUUCAUCUAAAACCACCGAAUGUAGGCAGGCACAGGAGACCCGGUGACUUCAGUUUGGGCACAUAAAAUUUUCUACUAAAGAGAAAAUUCCUCUGACACCAGAGGGGGCAACUUUUUAAAAUAAGCAAUGUUAUAUAGAUCAGUAAUAUUUGAUUAGAUACUUCCUUAUAGUUGACCAGGCUCCAACAAGAAAGAUGAGUAGCAAAUCAGAAACACCACCAAAUGGGAAGUAGAUCUAACAUCCUGUUGCCUCUUGGUACAUUCUAUUGCCUGUUCAAAAUGGAGUCUCAUAAAGUCAGGUUACCUUGAAAUUCUUACAUUGAAAUGUUGGAAUUUAUAAUCAUGAGCCACCAAAUCUAACUUAGUAUCUUUUUCUCCUACAUGCUCAGUGGGCAAGAGCUUGUUGCUCUUGCAGAGGACCAGCACCCACAUGGUGGCUCACAACUGUCUGUAACUCCAAUUACUGGGGAUCUGACGCCCUCUUCUGGACUGCACAGGCACUGCAUUCAUAUAACAUACAUCCAUGCACUCAGGGCUGGGACUGCAGGCAAGUGCCAUGUGUCGCCUUGACCAGGACAUGGGAUGCUGGGGCUCAAAACCAAGAAUUCCUGCACAGCGGGCUGACGGCUGAGGCGGAAGGACGGUGAGCUCUAGGCCAGCCUGGACUACACAGUGAAGCCCAGCUUAAAAAAGAAAAAAACGGCCAGUGUCUUGGAGAAAACUGAGUUUCCAGCAGCUGGUACUCAUGUCCUUGUGACUCAGACAGCUUGGGCUCAUGAGCUCUACUCAGCUGACCUGUUGUAAUCGUCUGGGUAUAAAUUGUCUGAUGUUCUGAAUACGGCCAUGACACCAAGGAACCCCGCCUGAAAACUUCAGCUCAGACUUCAGACAACUGUGCUACAGCACGUACCAAUUUUACUGCACAUCUGACACAUUCUGUUCUUAUAGAAACAUAAUUGUUUAAUUAGAGAAAAUAAACGUUUUAAUAUUUUCCUACUAUCAUUCUUUAAUAUACAAGUACAAAUUAAUCUGUGUUUAAACUGUAUCAUGUUAGAACAUUUAUUUUUAAGUGAAUAUUUUCAAAUAAUAAAUAUUUUCAUUUUAAAAGGAAAAUUUUAAAAAUUAAAGGUGCUGAAUUGAACUG